CCCUGAAGUCCUUACUUCUGAGUUUUCAGGUAGAAGGAAGGAAGGGGCCAAGAACCAACCAUUUCUAAAUGGAAACUAUCCACCUUUAGUUAACUGUUUGAGCAAAAAGCAAAAGGCCUUUGACGCUGCAUGAGGUUGCUCAAUUCACUUCUGUUGAAAUAGUAGUUUUCUGAAGUCAGGGCACGGACAGCCUCUCCCAGCUGCGUGGGGCACUCAGGUUCCCAGCCCCGGGAAGGAGCAAAAGGAGAAGCAGAGACAAGGGUGAGCAGAAGGACUGCUCCCUCCGCCUGGAGCUUCUCAGUGGGCCAUGGUUCUGAGGUGCCUCCUGCAGGACGACAGCCCCACUCCUCAGGCACCCCCAGUCCCACAUCCGCCUUCAGCAUCCUGCCCCAUGAAAUUUUCCUCCGGAUAAUCUAAUCUUCUAUGGAAUCCAGUUUUUGUCUUUGAAAAAAAUUAUUUGGACUAUCUGGAAUCAACAUACCAAAGGAAUACAGCAAAACGUGCUCUGUUCUUUUCCAGAUAAGAAUUGUAGUCCUUCCACCUUUUCAGUUGGAAUUAGCAUAACAAACCACAGGGGUUUACUCACUGAGGGAAAUACCUAGGGUCCUCUUUAAGCAGCGGUUAAUUACAUCCUGCUAUUCAUCCCAUUUAUUAGAGGUUAACUAAUUAGCACCAGCCAGCUCCAUUUUUAAUCUAAAUGUUUCUCUUUCUCCAGACUCCCAGUGCCUGUGUCACAGUCUUGAACCUCCCCACUAAGUGACAAAAUAACAAGGUCUGUCUUCUCUUCUAGGUGACCAGGGACCCUUGCUCAAGGCCCAUCUGUAUGCCCCUGCCUUGAGUCUGAGCUGUGUCCUCUCCAGACCUGGUUUUCGGUUGAUGCAAUGAAAACGGACACAAGCUUUGGAGCCAGACAAAGGUACAACCGGCAAAACUCCAGGCACCUGGGAAAGCGCGGGGCUGUUCGCGGGUCGUCAGGCCGGGCUGCUCCGUUGGCUCAGCUGUUAAUACAGGAGUGACCAAAAUCACAAAUCUUCCAGUCUACUCCAUAAAGCAGCUGGGGACAGAAGCAGAAUCCUGGGAGCCUCCUUCCUUCCAGGCACCAGGAGGCAGCCACAUGUUGCCGAGGGGACACAGGCACGUGUCACCCCAGGAGCCCGUUUGCACAAAGCGUGAGCUCCGGAGCACAGCAGUCAGGGCUCCCAGUGACUCCGGGAUGCAGCCCCGGCCGCGCUUUCUCAUCGAUGAGACGUGAUUGUGUGUGUGUUUCAUUAUAAAAUGUUCAAACCAUGAAGACAUUCUGUACAUAAAGAAGAAUGCCACCA